ensembl:lncRNA
CAUCAGGAGACAAACAUGGAGGAAAUAUGAGAACAGAGAGAACCCAACCAGCAGGUCACAGUUUAUCAUCAUCUAAUCAUCUCCUGAAGUCCAUAUGGUCCCUCUCUAUCUCCCCACACAUCCACCAACCACUGGAACACAUCUCCAAAGUUCUGCUGGGCCAGCUCAGCUUCCCCUCAGAAGAAGUGCUGCCACCUGCCAGAUGAAGGAGCCUUUUGAGAGGCAGCUGGCAUCGUGAUUGGACUGUACUUUGGUCUGUUCCAAUCCAGCUUCAGCUCCAGAGACGGCAGGCGGGACGAGUCAACGGAGGCCUGGUGGACGAAGGCAUGCAGCUGAGUACAAUCCAGAAAACAACAGAGGAGGAGUGCAGCGGCCCAGAGCCAGAACAAGCAGAACCAAAGAACUACAGACUCUUCACAACCUGCUCAAACUCUUAGUACAGGACCUCACCACACGGGUCAAGAAGGUUUCCAUCUAAUUUCUACUCUGAAGCUCACCUUCUCCUGCUCAAACUGCUGACAAAUGUUUCUGCUGCUCUAAAGUCUGGUCUCCAGAACUUCCUAAAAACUCUCAAAGUCUCUUCUGCUGCAGGUUGCUUUGUAGAACUGUUGCAGAAAACCUCACUAAACCACAUGGAGGGGCCUCAAGAUAGUCGUCCAAAUGAAACCGUACAAAAACCAAACUAGCACAACCCAAAUGCUAAAGUCUCCUGCAGCCUACCAGAGAACCUCUGAGAACAGAGAAUCAGGACAGGAACUCUUACCUUCUGGACAACCAACGCUGGUUCACAAACAAGAAUACAGAAUGUGUCUGACCAAAAACCUCUAAAGACUCACUACAGCCAAGAUAAAGACACAACUCAGCUGCACCAAAUCCACUAAUCACUGCACACAUUAGCACCAUGUGCUAACUGUGGCUAAAGAACCACAUUUACCAAGACAACUAUCCAGU